rnacentral:rRNA from 1 species
GUCUAUGGCCAUGCCACCCUGAACAAGCCUGAUCCCAUCUGAUCUCAGAAGCUAAGCAGAGUUGGGUCUGGUUAGUACUUGGAUGGGAGACCACCUAGGAAGACCAGGCGCUGAGGGGU